rnacentral:rRNA from 1 species
CGGGGCUCAACCCCGGAACUGCUUUCAAAACUGCAUCCCUUGAGUAUCGGAGAGGCAAGCGGAAUUCCUAGUGUAGCGGUGAAAUGCGUAGAUAUUAGGAGGAACACCAGUGGCGAAGGCGGCUUGCUGGACGAUAACUGACGCUGAGGCGCGAAAGCGUGGGGAGCAAACAGGAUUAGAUACCCUGGUAGUCCACGCUGUAAACGAUCAAUACUAGGUGUGCGGGGACUGACCCCCUGCGUGCCGCAGUUAACACAAUAAGUAUUGCACCUGGGGAGUACGAUCGCAAGGUUGAAACUCAAAGGAAUUGACGGG